rnacentral:misc_RNA from 1 species
GCGUCAUUACACCCCUCGAGCCCAGCUCGGUAUUGAGGGUCGCCCCCGGGGUGCCCUCGAAAUUUAGCGGUGACUUGGUUGGUCCUCGAGCGAAUCAAACUUUAUACGUUCCGCUUUGGAAGACUGAACUUGUCUGCCGGACAAACUACAAAUUAUCUACGAUUGACCUCGGAUCAGGUAGGGAUACCCGCUGAACUUAA